AUGGCCGCGGCGGCGCGGGCUCUGCUGCUUCUGGCCCUCGUCGCGGCGGGGGCGGAGGCGCUGAGCCUGGACGUCCACCACCGGUACUCGGCGACGGUGCGGGGGUGGGCGGGGCUGCGCACCGGGCCGGCGCCGGGCACGGCCGAGUACUACGCCGCGCUGGCGGGCCACGACGACCUCCGGCGCCGCUCGCUCUCUCUCGCCGCCGCCCCCGCGCCGGGCGGCGGGCCCUUCGCCUUCGCCGACGGCAACGACACGUACCGCCUCAACGCCUUCGGAUUCUUGCACUACGCGGUGGUGGCGCUGGGGACGCCGAACGUGACGUUCCUGGUGGCGCUCGACACCGGCAGCGACCUCUUCUGGGUGCCCUGCGACUGCCUCAAGUGCGCACCACUCUCCUCGCCAGAAUACGGGAAUCUGAAGUUCGACGUGUACAGCCCGCGGAAGUCGAGCACGAGCCGCAAGGUCCCCUGCAGCAGCAGCCUGUGCGAUCUCCAGACUGAAUGCAACAGUGCCGCAAGCAAGAGCUGCCCCUACAGCAUCGAAUACCUGUCGGACAACACGUCGUCCAACGGGGUGCUCGUCGAGGAUGUCCUGUACCUUGCGACCGAGUCCGGGAAAUCCAAGAUCACCCAAGCCCCCAUAACAUUCGGCUGUGGACAGGUCCAGACGGGUUCAUUUCUAGGCAGUGCCGCGCCGAAUGGCCUGCUCGGCCUCGGCAUGGACAGCAAGUCAGUGCCGAGUCUGCUGGCGAGCCAAGGAGUCGCCGCCAAUUCCUUCUCCAUGUGCUUCGGGGAAGAUGGUCAUGGCAGGAUCAACUUCGGGGACACGGGAAGCGCCGACCAGCUGGAAACUCCGCUGAACAUUUACAAACACAAUCCAUACUACAACAUUAGUAUCAUAGGAGCUAUGGCGGGAGGUAAAACGUUCAGCACAAAAUUCAGCGCAGUCGUGGACUCCGGUACCUCGUUCACAGCUCUCUCCGACCCAAUGUAUACCGAGAUUACCAGCGCUUUCGAUAAACAAGUCAAAGAAAAGAGAAAUCAGGCCGAUUCUUCGUUGCCUUUUGAAUAUUGCUACACCAUAAGUGCCAAGGGAGCUCUUAGUCAUCCGAACAUAAGCCUGACGGCGAAAGGUGGCAGUAUAUUCCCUGUUAAUGAUCCGAUAAUCACCAUAACGGACAUUUCUUCGAGCCCUGUUGGCUAUUGCUUGGCUAUUAUGAAGAGUGAAGGUGUUAACUUGAUUGGGGAGAACUUCAUGUCCGGGCUCAAGGUAGUGUUCGACCGUGAGAGGCUGGUCUUGGGAUGGAAAUCUUUCAACUGCUACAGCGUCGACCACUCGAGCAAGCUGCCGGUGAGCCCGAACCCCUCAGCCGUCCCUCCGAAGCCCGCCUCCGGACCAGGCAGCUCAAACCCCGAAGCUGCGAAGCGCCCUUCGCCAAACAUCACCCAGAUCGACGUGGCCAAGCCUUCGUCCGGCUCGUCGGUCCACUUGCAUUUCAGCAGGACCUUCUUCGCUGCCAUCUCUCCACUGCUCCUUGCCAUUCUUUGA
rnacentral:rRNA from 1 species